rnacentral:rRNA from 1 species
GACGAACGCUGGCGGCGUGCUUAACACAUGCAAGUCGAACGGAAAGGCCCUGCUUUUGUGGGGUGCUCGAGUGGCGAACGGGUGAGUAACACGGGAGUAACCUGCCCUUGACUUUGGGAUAACUUCAGGAAACUGGGGCUAAUACCGGAUAGGAGCUCCUGCUGCAUGGUGGGGGUUGGAAAGUUUCGGCGGUUGGGGAUGGACUCGCGGCUUAUCAGCUUGUUGGUGGGGUAGUGGCUUACCAAGGCUUUGACGGGUAGCCGGCCUGAGAGGGGGACCGGCCACAUUGGGACUGAGAUACGGCCCAGACUCCUACGGGAGGCAGCAGUGGGGAAUAUUGCACAAUGGGCGGAAGCCUGAUGCAGCAACGCCGCGUUCGGGAUGACGGCCUUCGGGUUGUAAACCGCUUUCGCCUGUGACGAAGCGUGAGUGACGGUAAUGGGUAAAGAAGCACCGGCUAACUACGUG